UUGGGUGUGACUGCGUACCUUUUGUAUAAUGGGUCAGCGACUUAUAUUCUGUAGCAAGGUUAACCGAAUAGGGGAGCCGGAGGGAAACCGAGUCUUAACCGGGCGUUAAGUUGCAGGGUAUAGACCCGAAACCCGGUGAUCUAGCCAUGGGCAGGUUGAAGGUUGGGUAACACUAACUGGAGGACCGAACCGACUAAUGUUGAAAAAUUAGCGGAUGACCUGUGGCUGGGGGUGAAAGGCCAAUCAAACCGGGAGAUAGCUGGUUCUCCCCGAAAGCUAUUUAGGUAGCGCCUCGUGAAUUCAUCUCCGGGGGUAGAGCACUGUUUCGGCUAGGGGGCCAUCCCGGCUUACCAACCCGAUGCAAACUGCGAAUACCGGAGAAUGUUAUCACGGGAGACACACGGCGGGUGCUAACGUCCGUCGUGAAGAGGGAAACAACCCAGACCGCCAGCUAAGGUCCCAAAGUCAUGGUUAAGUGGGAAACGAUGUGGGAAGGCCCAGACAGCCAGGAUGUUGGCUUAGAAGCAGCCAUCAUUUAAAGAAAGCGUAAUAGCUCACUGGUCGAGUCGGCCUGCGCGGAAGAUGUAACGGGGCUAAACCAUGCACCGAAGCUGCGGCAGCGACACUGUGUGUUGUUGGGUAGGGGAGCGUUCUGUAAGCCUGUGAAGGUGUGUCGUGAGGCAUGC
rnacentral:rRNA from 1 species